rnacentral:tRNA from 1 species
GAGGGCAUAGCUCAGUGGUAGAGCGCAUGCCUAGCAUGCAUGAGGUGCUGGAUUCAAUCCCCAGUACUUUCG